rnacentral:rRNA from 1 species
ACUCCUACGGGAGGCAGCAGGGGGAAUUGUUCACAAUGGGCGCAAGCCUGAUGACGCAACGCCGCGGGGGGAUGAAGGUCUUCGGAUCGUAAACCCCUGUCGAAUGGGACGAAAGACUCGCGAGUUAAUACUCCGCGAGAGUGACGGUACCGUUAAAGGAAGCCACGGCUAACUCUGUGCCAGCAGCCGCGGUAAUACAGAGGUGGCAAGCGUUGUUCGGAAUUACUGGGCGUAAAGGGCGCGUAGGCGGCCAUCUAAGUCAGACGUGAAAUCCCCCGGCUUAACCUGGGAACUGCGUCUGAUACUGGGAGGCUUGAGUAUGGGAGAGGGAUGUAGAAUUCCAGGUGUAGCGGUGAAAUGCGUAGAUAUCUGGAGGAAUACCGGUGGCGAAGGCGGCAUCCUGGACCAUUACUGACGCUGAGGCGCGAAAGCUAGGGGAGCAAACGGGAUUAGAUACCCCGGUAGUCCUAGCCCUAAACGAUGAAUACUUGGUGUGGCGGGUAUCGAUCCCUGCCGUGCCGAAGCUAACGCAUUAAGCAUUCCGCCUGGGGAGUACGGUCGCAAGGCUGAAACUCAAAGGAAUUGCUGGGGGCCCGCACAAGCGGUGGAGCAUGUGGUUCAAUUCGACGCAACGCGAAGAACCUUACCCUGGCUUGAACAGCGAGUGACCACUCAUGAAAAUGAGCUUCCGCAAGGACACUCGUAGAGGUGCUGCAUGGCU